UGGGCGGCUGUUGCGGGGUAGGUCGUAGGCGGAACAGCGCAUACCGGGCACCCAGAGCGUCGGCGGCCUGCGGCGCUGCAUACGACAGGGCCGGGCCCGUCCCGCCGUGCGCCCCUGCCCCAAUAGCCUGUGGGCGGCGGGCGGCCCGUGCCUGUGUGUGUGUGUGUGUGCAGCGGCGGCUGGUUGCGGCGCUCAGUGCAGCCGUGUUUCGGGUUGACGAAUUGCUUGUCAGCUAGCGAGGCGCGCCGUGGACCUUGGAAAAGAGGGGCCGACCGGCACACGUGCUGCACAUGGGUGGUGGGCUGAGGAGGAGUCUUUGUUUCGGGGGGCCGCGCGGCUGAC
rnacentral:lncRNA from 1 species